UUGUUUUUACAUUCAAUCUUGAUUUCAGGUAUUAUGCCAUUUUUAUCAAUAAUGUUAUAUGCUUGUGGAUGGGUUAGUACACUUGAAGGAAUUUCGAGAAUAGCUUUGACCAGACGUAACUGUGCUCAACAUGUGCUGAACACCUGAAGGAUUGGGAAUGAAACUAUUUGAUUAUUUUACAAACCAGCAAGCAAUUCUGAUGAAUCUGCAAAAUCAUUAUGGAAUAAAGGAAGCAGGAAACCUCUUUCACAAUGAAAAUUUCCUGUUUUUAUAAACAGCUCUCUUGGGUCGUUGAGACAGGGUGAAACACAUCACUCGCUAUCACAGUCUCUAAAGCUGCCACAAUAAAGGGAACUGUGUAAGAAUCAAGCAUUUCUGUCACCGAUUCAGCCAUGAAUCUGAUCGUGUUGGGGAUUGUGCUCUUCGGGAUUUACGUCCAACAAUCAGGUUUUAAAUGUUUUAUGACAAUAUAUAAUUAUUUGGUCAUAUCUAAAUGAAUAUUAAGCAAAAAUAUGGCUAGCUUACAAAACAUUUUCUCAAAAACUUUUUCUACCAACUUUAUCUUUAUCUUUAAUGAAACAAAAGAAUAAUACAAUUAGUUUAUUUAUAAAUGCAUCCUGGUCAUCUGUGCCAUAACAUAUAUCAGGCAAUAAGUGUAACAAGUAUUUUAUUCUUUCAUUCAUUUGGUUUGUUUCUCAAGUUUUGCAAAACCCUGAUAAAUGUCACAUUGAGCUACAUUAUUGUUUAUUAAACAGAUGAUAAUUUUAAGAUGGGAGAACUAUUUCCUAACAUAGUAAACUUUUUCCAUGAAGCUUAUGACAUGAAGACACGCCCACAAUGUGCACAUCUCAAAAUCCAACCGUCAGCCAAUGCAACCAAGUCGCCUACCUACAUUUUUUAUUUUCCUAUAAUCUGUUAGAUUCUGAUGUACAUCACAAUAUGGCAGAGAUGGUCUGUUGCUACUAUGUUAAAUCACAACUUUAAAAUAAUGCACUGUUAAUGGUCCUUUUUGUGGAAAGCUAUAUAAAUAGUAAUGCAACAUGGUCUGAAUGGACUCCCUGGGGCGAGUGCUCAGUGAGUUGUACAGAGGGAGUCAGUCAAAGGCGACGACUGUGUCUUGGAAUUGGCAAUUGCUCAGAUCCUGAAAAUCUGGGAAAGGUUCAAACUAAACCAUGUGUGAAAAAAGAUUGCUGCCCAGUGGAAGGUGGCUGGUCAGAGUGGGGGAAGUGGCAGCUAUGUUCAGUCACAUGUGGCGAUGGAAUUAAAAAAAGGCGAAGAACAUGUUCUGAACCCAUUCCACAAUGUGGGGGCUCCUGUAGUGGUGCAGAAGAAGAAAUCACCCCUUGCUCCACUGAAAUAACCUGUCCAAGUAAGCAUAGUUUUCUAUUUUUACUCACUGAAGACACUGAA